rnacentral:rRNA from 1 species
UUUGGAUGAGACCUUCGGGUGGAUUCGGGAAUGACUGAGUGGCGGACGGGUGAGUAACGCGUGGGCAACCUGCCUUACACAGGGGGACAACAGUUAGAAAUGACUGCUAAUACCGCAUAAGCGCACGGGAACGCAUGUUUCUGUGUGAAAAACUCCGGUGGUGUAAGAUGGGCCCGCGUUGGAUUAGGUAGUUGGUGGGGUAACGGCCCACCAAGCCGACGAUCCAUAGCCGACCUGAGAGGGUGACCGGCCACAUUGGGACUGAGACACGGCCCAAACUCCUACGGGAGGCAGCAGUGGGGAAUAUUGCACAAUGGGCGCAAGCCUGAUGCAGCGACGCCGCGUGAGCGAAGAAGUAUUUCGGUAUGUAAAGCUCUAUCAGCAGGGAAGAAAAUGACGGUACCUGACUAAGAAGCUCCGGCUAAAUACGUGCCAGCAGCCGCGGUAAUACGUAUGGAGCAAGCGUUAUCCGGAAUUACUGGGUGUAAAGGGAGCGUAGACGGACUUGCAAGUCUGAUGUGAAAGGCGGGGGCUCAACCCCUGGACUGCAUUGGAAACUGUAGGUCUUGAGUGCCGGAGAGGUAAGCGGAAUUCCUAGUGUAGCGGUGAAAUGCGUAGAUAUUAGGAGGAACACCAGUGGCGAAGGCGGCUUACUGGACGGUAACUGACGUUGAGGCUCGAAAGCGUGGGGAGCAAACAGGAUUAGAUACCCUGGUAGUCCACGCGGUAAACGAUGAAUACUAGGUGUUGGGGAGCAAAGCUCUUCGGUGCCGCAGCAAACGCAAUAAG